GACGAACGCUGGCGGCGUGCUUAACACAUGCAAGUCGAACGGAAAGGCCCUGCUUUUGUGGGGUGCUCGAGUGGCGAACGGGUGAGUAACACGUGAGUAACCUGCCCUUGACUUUGGGAUAACUUCAGGAAACUGGGGCUAAUACCGGAUAGGAGCUCCUGCUGCAUGGUGGGGGUUGGAAAGUUUCGGCGGUUGGGGAUGGACUCGCGGCUUAUCGGCUUGUUGGUGGGGUAGUGGCUUACCAAGGCUUUGACGGGUAGCCGGCCUGAGAGGGUGACCGGCCACAUUGGGACUGAGAUACGGCGCAGACUCCUACGGGCGGUAGCAGUCGGGAAUAUUGCACAAUGGGCGGAAGCCUGAUGCAGCAACGCCGCGUGCGGGAUGACGGCCUUCGGGUUGUAAACCGCUUUCGCCUGUGACGAAGCGUGAGUGACGGUAAUGGGUAAAGAAGCACCGGCUAACUACGUG
rnacentral:rRNA from 1 species